AAAGAAAGUAAGCAAGGGCGCAUGGCGGAUGCCUUGGCUCUCGGAGGCGAUGAAGGACGUGAUAAGCUGCGAUAAGCUUCGGGCAGGUGCAAAUAACCUUUGAUCCGAAGAUUUCCGAAUGGGACAACCCGUCAUUCUGAAGGAAUGACAUCUUGCAUAGCAAGAGGCUAACGCAGGGAACUGAAACAUCUUAGUACCUGUAGGAAAAGAAAAUAAUAAUGAUUCCCCUAGUAGUGGCGAGNNNNNNNNNNGGCGAGCGAACGGGGAUUAGCCCAAACCAAUGUUGUUACGGCAAUAUUGGGGUUGUAGGACCACGCUCUCGCAAGAAGUUUAGUGAGAAGAACCCUUUGGAAAAUGGGACCAUAGACGGUGAUAGUCCGGUAUUCGAAGCUAAAUGAAGCGUAGUGGUAUCCUGAGUAGCGCGGGACACGAGGAAUCUUGCGUGAAUCUGCCGGGACCAUCCGGUAAGGCUAAAUACUCCCGAGAGACCGAUAGCGAACCAGUACUGUGAAGGAAAGGUGAAAAGCACUUCGAAUAGAAGAGUGAAAUAGUCCCUGAAACCGUGCGCCUACAAGCGGUCGGAGCUGCUUCAGCAGUGACGGCGUGCCUUUUGCAUAAUGAACCUACGAGUUACUUUUUCCGGCAAGGUUAAGGAUCUUGAGAUCCGCAGCCGAAGCGAAAGCGAGUCUUAAUAGGGCGAUUAGUCGGAAGGAGUAGACGCGAAACCAAGUGAUCUACCCUUGGUCAGGUUGAAGGUUAGGUAACACUAACUGGAGGACCGAACCGAUAAGCGUUGAAAAGCUUCCGGAUGAACUGAGGGUGGGGGUGAAAGGCUAAUCAAACUUGGAGAUAGCUCGUACUCCCCGAAAUGCAUUUAGGUGCAGCCUUGGGAAUUACUACUGUGAGGUAGAGCGACUGAUAAGAUGCGAGGGCUUCACCGCCUAUCAAGUCUUGAUAAACUCCGAAUGCGCAGUAGUUCGAUCCCAGGAGUGAGGGCAUGGGUGCUAAGGUCCAUGUCCUAAAGGAGAAGAAUCCAGACCAUCAGCUAAGGUCCCGAAAUAAUUGCUAAGUUGAACUAACGAAGUCAGAUUGCUAAGACAGCUAGGAUGUUGGCUUGGAAGCAGCCAUUCAUUUAAAGAGUGCGUAACAGCUCACUAGUCGAGGAGUUUGGCGUGGAUAAUAAUCGGGCAUUAAGCAAUUUACCGAAGCUAUGGGAUGUUAACUAAACACUAACAUCGGUAGGGGAGCAUUCCACUCUGCGUCGAAGGUGAAGCGUGAGCUUUGCUGGAGCGUGUGGAAAAGCAAAUGUAGGUAUAAGUAACGAUAAAGGGGGUGAGAAACCCCCUCGCCGAAAGACUAAGGUUUCCUGAUCAACGCUAAUCGGAUCAGGGUUAGUCGGGUCCUAAGGCUCAGCCGAACGGUGAGGCCGAUGGCAGAACAGGUUAAUAUUCCUGUACUACCUUAAGGAGUGACGUGGAGACGGAGGAGUGACAACGCCGCGGACUGACGGAAUAGUCCGUUGAAGGGUGUAGAUGUUGAUUAUCCCAGGCAAAUCCGGGAUAAGAGUCGAACCUGAUAGUAUACCAAAUUCUUCGGAAUAAGGUAAUAGUGCGUGUAAGCAUACUCCCAAGAAAAUCCGCUAAACUUAAUCUUUAAGGUACCCGUACCGCAAACGGACACACGUAGUCGGGUUGAAUAUACUAAGGCGCUUGAGUGAUUCACGGUUAAGGAACUAGGCAAAUUGACCCUGUAACUUCGGGAUAAAGGGUCCCAACGAGAGUUGGGCGCAGAGAAUAGGUCCAGGCAACUGUUUAACAAAAACACAGGGCUGUGCUAAAUUGAAAGAUUACGUAUACAGCCUGACACCUGCCCGGUGCUGGAAGGUUAAGAGGAGAUGUCAUCGCAAGAGAAGCAUUGAAUUGAAGCCCCAGUAAACGGCGGCCGUAACUAUAACGGUCCUAAGGUAGCGAAAUUCCUUGUCGGGUAAGUUCCGACCUGCACGAAUGGUGUAAUGAUCUGGACACUGUCUCAACCGUGAGCUCAGUGAAAUUGUAGUAUCGGUGAAGAUGCCGAUUACCCGCGAUGGGACGAAAAGACCCCGUGAACCUUUACUAUAGCUUAACAUUGAAUUUGGGUAAUUGAUGUGUAGGAUAGGCCGGAGACUUUGAAGCAGGUACGCCAGUAUUUGUGGAGUCGCUGUUGAAAUACGGCCCUUUGAUUAUUUGAGUUCUAACUCGUAGAUACGAGGACACUGUUUGGUGGGUAGUUUGACUGGGGUGGUCGCCUCCAAAAGUGUAACGGAGGCUUCUAAAGGUGCCCUCAGGACGAUUGGUAACCGUCCGUAGAGUGUAAUGGCAUAAGGGCGCUUGACUGGGAGACAGACAAGUCGAUCAGGUAGGAAACUAGAGCAUAGUGAUCCGGUGUUUCCGUAUGGAAGGGACAUCGCUCAAAGGAUAAAAGGUACUCCGGGGAUAACAGGCUGAUCCCUCCCAAGAGCUCAUAUCGACGGAGGGGUUUGGCACCUCGAUGUCGGCUCGUCACAUCCUGGGGCUGGAGAAGGUCCCAAGGGUUGGGCUGUUCGCCCAUUAAAGUGGCACGCGAGCUGGGUUCAGAACGUCGUGAGACAGUUCGGUCUCUAUCUAUCGUGGGCGUAUGAAAUUUGCGUGGCUCUGACACUAGUACGAGAGGACCGUGUUGGACUGACCGCUGGUUUACCAGUUGUGCCGCCAGGUGCAUUGCUGGGUAUCUAAGUCGGGAUUGGAUAAGUGCUGAAAGCAUCUAAGUACGAAGCCAGCCACAAGAUUAGAUUUCUUAGGGUCGUCAAAGACGAUGACGUUGAUAGGAUGCAGGUGUAAAGGUGGUAACAUCAAAGCCGAGCAUUACUAAUUGCCCGUUCACUUUCUUU
rnacentral:rRNA from 1 species